UAAUGAUGGGGGCGCUGUCUCCAGCAGAGACUCAGUGAAAUCGAAUUCGCCGUGAAGAUGCGGUGUACCCGCGGCUAGACGGAAAGACCCCGUGAACCUUUACUGCAGCUUGACAUUGAACUUUGAUCUUACUUGUGUAGGAUAGGUGGGAGGCUUUGAAGUCGCGACGCUAGUUGCGAUGGAGCCGUCCUUGAAAUACCACCCUGGUAAUAUUGAGGUUCUAACUCUGUCCCGUUAUCCGGGACGAGGACCAUGUCUGGUGGGUAGUUUGACUGGGGCGGUCUCCUCCUAAAGAGUAACGGAGGAGUACGAAGGUGCGCUCAGCGUGGUCGGAAAUCACGCGUAGAGUAUAAAGGCAAAAGCGCGCUUAACUGCGAGACCCACAAGUCGAGCAGGUACGAAAGUAGGUCUUAGUGAUCCGGUGGUUCUGUAUGGAAGGGCCAUCGCUCAACGGAUAAAAGGUACUCUGGGGAUAACAGGCUGAUACCGCCCAAGAGUUCAUAUCGACGGCGGUGUUUGGCACCUCGAUGUCGGCUCAUCUCAUCCUGGGGCUGAAGCAGGUCCCAAGGGUAUGGCUGUUCGCCAUUUAAAGAGGUACGCGAGCUGGGUUUAGAACGUCGUGAGACAGUUCGGUCCCUAUCUACCGUGGGCGUUGGAAAUUUGAGAGGAUCUGCUCCUAGUACGAGAGGACCAGAGUGGACGAACCUCUGGUGUACCGGUUGUCACGCCAGUGGCAUCGCCGGGUAGCUAUGUUCGGAAGGGAUAACCGCUGAAAGCAUCUAAGCGGGAAGCCUACCUCAAGAUAAGAUUUCCCCGAGACUUUAUGUCUCCUAAAGAGCCGUUGAAGACUACGACGUUGAUAGGUUGGAUGUGGAAGCAUAGUGAUAUGUGAAGCUGACCAAUACUAAUUGCUCGUGAGGCUUGACU
rnacentral:rRNA from 1 species